AGCCUGCAUGAGAAAAGUCCUAUGUUGAAGGACCUGAAAGAGGGUGACCAGCUGGGACUCAGGAACAAAGGGGAAGACUGGGAAGUGGCAGAAAUGGUGAGGUAGGCAGGGCUAAGGCUCUUCAUGGGCUCACAGGCCAUGUUAAAGAUUUUUGUCUUUAUUCUAAGAGUAACAGGAAGACACUGAAAGAUUAUGAGCAGAGGGAUGACAUAAUUAGAUUUUUAUUAUAGUAUACAGCAGGACUGUCCAACAGUAAUAGAAUGCAUGCCACACGUCUAAUAUUAAAUUUUCUAGUAUCCUCAUCUUUUUAAAAAAGUGAAAAGAAGUGGGUAAAAUUAAUUUUAAUCCUAUGUUUUAUUUAACCCAAUAGAUCAUUUCAACCUGCAAUCACGAUGUAUAUCACGUGGUACUUGUAUCAUGCAGUUAACAGUCUCUUAGUUAUUGAGUGUUCAUGUUUAUCAGUAUGAAGGCAUUAGUCUUUUCUCAUCACCUUCCCCAAGCUUCCUUGGCAGGCAGUUUUUUCCUCUAUGUAUGUAUAUUUGUGAGCAUGUGUUCUGUACUUAAAAAUCUAUCCAUAUUCUACCCAUCAAAUACAAAAAGGUACUGCAUUUCUUUUCUUUGUGACCCGUGUUAAAAUCAGAGGUGAACUUCUGUCAUGCAGAUUUCCUGGUCGCUUUGGGCUCUGCCUCCAGGGCUGCAGUGCACCUAGCAGUCAUCCUCCCUCCAGGAGAAGGAGCAUUAAGAGUCUUGAAUGGUCUUAUGAUCCUUCCUUUUGUUACAUUUUAAAGCAUAAGUUCUUACCAGAAACUUUUCAAAUGCAGUAGGAAACAUCUUUUUAAAAUGCUUGUUACAGAAAUUAUAGAUUUCUUAUAUAAAUGUAGAUAUUACAUAAAGAAAAACGGGAUGACACAAUAUAAAUUGUUCUGAACCCUUCUUUUUGCGCUUAAUAGCUAUCAUCAUCUUUCUCCAUUAAUAAGAGAUUCUUUGGCAUCUGCUUGAAUCAGAGUUGAAAAUUCCUCAUCCUUGGAAUUUCAGAUGGCUUAAGAGGUUUUUUUUUUUUCUUCUAUAAAUAAUGCUACAAUAAACAUUUAUGUUAGUGUUUCUGCACUUGUUUUGUAAUUUUUUUUUUUUUGCAGAGAAAAGAAUUUCCAUGUUAAAGGUCAUACAAAUCAAGGGUCUUAAUUUAGCCAAACUGCUAUGAGAGAGGUUAUGCCCAUUUCUAAUUCUCCCAGCAGUUUAAAGCACUAGAGUGCCAAAACCACACCUCUGUCCAGUCAGACUCUUUGCCUCUGCCAAUGUGACAGAUGGGAAAACGUCAUCUUACCUUUAUAUUAAUUUGCAUUUAUUUUAUUACUAGCGAGUCUAGAUGAACUUUUUUCCCAUGUGUGUGUUGGUAAUCUGUAUUUCCAUUCUUUUAUUUCUGCAUCAUUUAUGGAUAUCCUUAGUCCAGUUUUCUCAGAAAGGUCAUCUUUUUGCCAUCCAUUCAUAGCUGCUCUUAAUAUGAGAAUAUUAACUCUUAAUAACAGAUAUCUUAAAUAUACUCCAGUUGGUCAUGAAGUAGGGGAAAGGGGGGUCUUUUGUAAUAUUGUGGCUUAACUUUUUAUGUCCUCAAGUCUAUCAAUCUUUUUAUGUAGGUUCUGAAUUGACAUCACUGAGCAAGUCAUUCUUCAUCAUAGUUUAUAAAAACAUCAGUUUUCUGUUAUAAAUUUUCUAUUAUAUUUUUUGGUUUUAUUUUUAAUACUUACAUAUUUAAUCUACAUAGGCUUAAGUCUGGUAUAAAGUCAGAAUGCUUUUCUACAUGGUUAGCCAAUUAGGACAACAAAAGUAUAAUUAGUUAUUUGUUCAGUGACCUGAUUUUCCAACUUGAUUAUAUAACAAUAUUCUACUCAAUGAAAUAACAAAGGAUUGAAUAAAAGGAGAAGAUACCUUAACACAGAGCUAAAAAUAGUAGAAAGAUCUCUAAAUACGGUACCUAUGGCUAGUUUUUCUAAAACUUUGUGUUAGGCAAUGUAUAUGCAAUUGCCAAGUCUAGAUUAAAUAUGAAAUUAAACCAUAAAAUAAAUUACUAAAGUUAUUUCUUAUCUUUCAUUUAUAAUUUCUAGUUCCCUCAGCUUUCUUGAAACAAAUUUUAUGAAGCAGAGGAAAUUGAUUGGAAAGAAAAUUUGCCAGUGUUAAGCUCGAGCAGGAAGAUCUUAAAGAAGCAAGCUGACAACAGGAGGUAGCUACGACUACAACUGACAGAUUGAAAUAAAAACUGCACACGGCCUGGGAGGCGGGCAGCGUGGGAAACCGUGAGGAAUCAGACCCGAAGAGCUUUCUGCUCAGAUGAAGAGCACCCAGGAGACAGGAAGAGAGAUGGGGCUGGGAGGUGGAUGAAAGCUUCCGGAACAAACCGUAAAAGUGCAUAACUGGGUCUGCCAACGGCGGCAUUAAGGGAAGUAGCUGUAAAAUCAAUAUGGAAAGGAAAAAAAUUUUUAAAGAAGCCUUGAGAAAAAUGAAAAAACAACCUCAUUAAAACAUUUGGAAGUGAUUAUAAAAA